rnacentral:rRNA from 1 species
CACGUAGGGACCGAGCGUUGUCCGGAUUUAUUGGGCGUAAAGAGCUCGUAGGCGGUUCGUCGCGUCGGCUGUGAAAUCCCGAGGCUCAACCUCGGGUCUGCAGUCGAUACGGGCGGACUGGAGUACUGCAGGGGAGACUGGAAUUCCUGGUGUAGCGGUGAAAUGCGCAGAUAUCAAGUGGAACACCAGUGGCGAAGGCGAGUCCCUGGACAACUCCUGACACUGAGGCACGAAAGCGUGGGUAGCAAACAGG